AGGCAGAGAGCAGAGCUGCAGCUAAACCAGCUGUGCAGGGAGACGCAGCCGAGGAGGAUGAGUGGGAGGACUGAAGCAGGAAGAGUUGAAGCCUUGUCUCGUUCCGUUAAGAGAUGGGAUCGCUCUAGUUUGCAGGAGUGUCACUUCCACAUGCCUUGUUUUUUUUUGAUUCCCGAAUCAAGUCUUUCAGCCCAGGAGUGCACUGGUUAUUACCAGGGUUAACAAGACAGUCUUGGACACUCCAGGAUAAAUCCCAAGCUAUUUUUAGGAACUCUCCAGGUUUAAGAUUUGAAUCCAAGUAGUAGUUUACACAUUUCUAUGUCCUUAUCAAGAUCAUUACUGGUUUGAAAAGAAACUGACAACUUCAGCAGUAACUUCAUCAGAUGAUAUAGAGCCUUCUCGCAAGGCAUCUCAAAACACAGAGACCUAACCUCCGCAUUUCCAGGACCGUAGAUGCAAGGUCCGUUCUUUAUCUCUAUUCUUUAUGCCAGUCUUUUCUUUGUGUUAGUUCCUUAUUAGUCAGUGCUGCACUCCUGUGUCCUGUGUCUUGUAUCUGAUUGUGUGCUAGACAGUGCUGCACUCCUGUGUCGUGUGUCUUGUAUCUGAUUGUGUGCUAGUCAGUACUGCACUCCUAUGUCCUGUGUCUUGUUUGUCUGAUGCAGUAUAACGCAGUUCACCCUCUGCUUGUGAAAUAUCUUGAAAUACUUCAAACAAAUCUGUGUAAAGCUUAAUGUAUCCCACUGUAUUUGUAUACAUAUAGAUCAAUAUUAGAAACAUGUAUUUGUAAGAGUGGAACAAGCUUAUUUUCUGUGGAUUUUAUUGUUUCCAGUGUAAAAAAUAAAUACUUGAUAAAAAUGUCAGAUGUACAGAACAGCAAAAUAAUUUUUUUACCACCCUUUGCUGUUCAGUUUCACGCUUGCAUGUGCUUUACUACAUUUUGCAAUAUACUUUUGUGACUGUCGAAAGGGGGAAAAAAACAAAGUAUACCCAAUAAAUAAUAUUCAGAAAAAAAAA